rnacentral:rRNA from 1 species
AGAGAGAGACAUGCGCGCAUAUCAAUAAGCGGAGGAAAAGAAACUAACAAGGAUUCCCUUAGUAACGGCGAGUGAAGCGGGAAGAGCUCAAAUUUGAAAUCUUCAAGGUUUUACCUUGACGAAUUGUAGUUUAAAGAAGUGUUUUCUGCUGAAGUUUUGGUAAAAGUUCUUUGGAAUAGGACAUCAUAGAGGGUGAGAAUCCCGUAUUUGACCAUUAUUUUCAGCUUUGUGAUACACUUUCAAAGAGUCGGAUUGUUUGGGAAUGCAGUCCAAAAUGGGUGGUAAAUUUCAUCUAAAGCUAAAUAUUGGCGAGAGACCGAUAGCGAACAAGUACCUGUGAGGGAAAGAUGAAAAGAACUUUGAAAAGAGAGUUAAACAGUACGUGAAAUUGUCAAAGGGAAGCGUUUGACACCAGUGUUGUUUUCUCGAAAAUCAAUUAAAAAUGGCUCGAUUUUGUAUUGCUUGAGACCUUAAAAGCUCACUGUACAUUUUUCGUGUCUUUUUUAAUGCACUUUUCGUUUAACAAGUCAACAUCAGUUUCUUUUGUUGUAAAAGGGUCAUUGGAAGGUGGCUUUCUUUUCGGAGAAAGUGUUUAUAGCCUUUGGCCUCUGCAAUCGGAAGAGACUGAGGUCUGCAGCGUAGACUCUUCGGGGUUAGAUACAUUUGUGCUAAGUUAUAGCUUUUUAUAGACAACUUGUUGACUAUAAUUAGUCUUGUAGCUUACUCGCUUAUGCUAUUUUACCUACGCUUAGGAUGUUGAAGAUGUAGCACAUCAU